GGGGGGGGGCAGUUGCAUUCAGAAUUAUUUAUUCGGUUAUGUGUAUCAAGGUUUGUCAUAUAAAGGUUUAGUACUUUUAAUAACUUUUUAUCGUAUUAGCUAAAAUUGGCCAUUUUUUCCCGACGGAAAAUUUAUAUUGGCCAAUCAUAUUUUACGAAAUGUUCUUUCUGCGGAAAAUUUUCUUAAGCGGAAAUGGGCCUUUAUGUUAACAUAGUGAAAAUGGGCCUUUAUGCCUGCCUUGUCGCCAUGCAGGCGCGAUAUAUAAAAGUCUUGAACUGCCUGCAGUGUAGGUAGAGAUGCAACUACCUGAAAAAUAUAAGGAGAAUUUAGACGUUUCGAGGGAAGGCCCUUCGUCUGGAGUUACUAGCGUUUACUAAGGUUUACAUGAAGUAUUAGCGUGUCGUUGGCAUGCGUGCUGAGAGCGAGACGAUGUUCUGAUUUGGACGUGG